AUUGAACGCUGGCGGCAUGCUUUACACAUGCAAGUCGAACGGCAGCGCGGGCUUCGGCCUGGCGGCGAGUGGCGAACGGGUGAGUAAUGCAUCGGAACGUGCCCAGUAGUGGGGGAUAGCCCGGCGAAAGCCGGAUUAAUACCGCAUACGACCUGAGGGUGAAAGCGGGGGACCGAAAGGCCUCGCGCUAUUUGCGCGGCCGAUGUCGGAUUAGCUAGUUGGUGGGGUAAAGGCUUACCAAGGCGACGAUCCGUAGCUGGUCUGAGAGGACGACCAGCCACACUGGGACUGAGACACGGCCCAGACUCCUACGGGAGGCAGCAGUGGGGAAUUUUGGACAAUGGGGGCAACCCUGAUCCAGCUAUGCCGCGUGCGGGAAGAAGGCCUUCGGGUUGUAAACCGCUUUUGUUCGGGAAGAAAUCCUCUGGGCUAAUACCCCGGGGGGAUGACGGUACCGGAAGAAUAAGCACCGGCUAACUACGUG
rnacentral:rRNA from 1 species